CAGAGCUCAGCUGGACCCUCAGCCACUCGGUUCCCGCCCUCAGUUAGGGUGGGGUCUGGGGGCAUUUUUUUUUUUUUUUCAAAGCCCAGUGGGAAAGCUGGGAAUUCAGAAUCCGCGAAAGACGUUCUCCGUCCUCUCCCAGCCGCUGUGUGACCUGGGGUGAAACUGAUCCUGCAUCCCAGAGGGAAUUUUGGAAGAGGUUUCGGUGGAGGUGAAAACCAAGUGCCUGAAUGGUUUUAUUGCUGAAAGUCCUGAGUCUGGGAAACCUCUCAGUCUUGGGGUUUCCCUCAGAAUGAAAAACAAGGGGAAGCUGACUGGCAGAUGGAGAAACUGAGGCCUGGAGAAUAAAAUAAGCUGCCCAAGGUCGCACAGCUGGCCCAGCAUCAGCACUGGGGGGGGGGGGGUUCCUGGAAAAGUGGCUGGAGACUUCAUCCCCUUGUCCAUGUCACCAGGCAGAUCUUGCUUCUCUGGGAACCACUGUGAAUGACCCAAGUACAAAAGUGUAAAUCAAAGCCUCCUGAUGCUUUGAGACCUUCACCCUUUCACUGAACUGGCAACAUCAGCAGCUCUGUCUGCACCCACUGCACCAGUAUGACUGUUAGGAUUCCAACUGUCACCAGAGCUCCAGCAGACAGGAUUCUCUGACCUCACCCAUGAUGCCAGAACAUUCCAUGGUCCAGCUCAAACUCAUAUCCAGCAACUGUAAGACCCUCCAAGACAGUUUCUUUUUUGCAAUAAAAACCCCCA